AAUGUCACAUUAUAUAGAUCAGAGGAAAAUUUUUUUUGUCUAUAAUAUUGAGAGAAGUAUUUUCUCUUGCUAGUUGCUUUUAGUGGUGAUAAAGGCGCCCACACAUCAGGUGCAGAUCAAACAUGAGUAAUAACCUGGAAGAUCAUUGGUGACAGAUCAUAAUCCAACAAGAUUGGUGGUGAAGAAUCGUGAUCUAAUAAGAGUGGUGGUACAGAUUAUGAUUUGGGAGUCUAAAUUAAUUCAGGGAAAAAGCAAAAUCGGAUUGUCAAGCUAUGGUUUUCUAGAUUACUAAUUCCUAUGUAUUGUAUGCGAUCGGUCCUAAAAGUUUUUAUAAAAAAUAAAAAACGUGAUUUUUCUCCAUCAAUUGGUAUCAAAGCCAUCUCAUAGUAAUAUAUAAGAAUUUCGUAUGAAAUCGAUCUUGAUAUUUAUGUAUUAGAGUGGCACGAUUUAUUUAGAUAUAUAUUAUUUGAUUAAUAUAUGAAUAAAGCAUGUUUUUGGUUUGUCUUAAUUCAUGGUAAAAUUCUCCGCUGUAUUUUUUCUUUAGAUGUAUAACAAGAGCGGUAGUUUUUUAUCACCAUAUUUCUCUCUUGAUUUAUUUUGCUGUUAUAGAAAUUUUGUAAGCCACAAUUGGCCUAGGAAAUUUGUGAAUCACUGGAGAAUAAUCACGGAUGUGAGAUAAGAGGAAAUGAAGGUCUGAAAUUUUGAUAGCGGCAACCAACCAGCGCACGCUGUAGCAGCGCAUACGGCCUGGGCAGCCAACUGCGCGCGCUACCAACAGCUGCAGCAACAAGUAACGUGGCUAGCAAACGCGAGCGAGGGAUGGUUGCAUGCGGAAGCUACUAGCGGAAGGGGUCGUGAGUCGUUUGGGAGCUUUUCGGUGAGGCGGCGGCGGUCAAUUCAGCGUCAGAGAUGCGUGAACAGCUGCUGGGCUUUGUGGUGGUGGCAGCUGGGGAAGAAAGGAAAGAAAAAUAUGGAUUUUAGGGUUUCAAUGGUUUUUAUCAUUAAGGUCCCUAUAGGGCCAUAGUUUUUCCCUUGGGUGGACAAGUUUCAAUUUUAUACAUUUAAGUCCAAAAUAGUUUUGGGCUAGUGAAUCCUAAUU
rnacentral:lncRNA from 1 species